rnacentral:rRNA from 1 species
GAUGAACGCUAGCUACAGGCUUAACACAUGCAAGUCGAACGAGAAAUUCACUUCGGUGGAUGGAAAGUGGCGGACGGGUGAGUAAUGUGUAGAGAAUCUGCCCUGAAGUGGGGGACAACAGAGGGAAACUCCUGCUAAUACCCCAUAUGCGCGUAGUUGAGAUACUAUUCGUGAAAGAUUUAUCGCUUCAGGAUGAGUCUGCAUCUGAUUAGCUAGUUGGGGGUGUAAUGGACCACCAAGGCGACGAUCAGUAGCUGGUUUGAGAGGAUGAUCAGCCACAAUGGGACUGAGACACGGCCCAUACUCC